rnacentral:rRNA from 1 species
GGGAAUUGGGGGGACUACGAUGCAAGUCGAGGGAGGAGCUUUCGGGCUUCGACCGGCGUACGGGUGCGUAACGCAUAUACAAUCAAGCCUUUCACAUAGGGAUAGCCCGAAGAAAUUUGGAUUAAUACCUAAUGGUAUAUAGGGAUGGCAUCAUUUUUAUAUUAAAGCUGAGGCGGUGAAAGAUGAGUAUGCGUUCUAUUAGCUAGUUGGAGAGGUAACGGCUCCCCAAGGCGACGAUAGAUAGGGGUUCUGAGAGGGAUAUCCCCCACACUGGUACUGAGAUACGGACCAGACUCCUACGGGAGGCAGCAGUGAGGAAUAUUGGACAAUGGUCGGAAGACUGAUCCAGCCAUGCCGCGUGCAGGAAGACGGCCUUAUGGGUUGUAAACUGCUUUUGCAGGGGAAGAAUAAGGACUACGCGUAGUUUGAUGACGGUACUCUGCGAAUAAGCAUCGGCUAACUCCGUGCCAGCAGCCGCGGUAAUACGGAGGAUGCGAGCGUUAUCCGGAAUCAUUGGGUUUAAAGGGUCCGUAGGCGGGCUAAUAAGUCAGAGGUGAAAGCGCUCAGCUCAACUGAGCAACUGCCUUUGAAACUGUUAGUCUUGAAUGGUUGUGAAGUAGUUGGAAUGUGUAGUGUAGCGGUGAAAUGCUUAGAUAUUACACAGAACACCGAUAGCGAAGGCAUAUUACUAACAAUUAAUUGACGCUGAUGGACGAAAGCGUGGGGAGCGAACAGGAUUAGAUACCCUGGUAGUCCACGCUGUAAACGAUGGAUACUAGCUGUUUGGAUGAAAGUUUGAGUGGCUAAGCGAAAGUGAUAAGUAUCCCACCU